CUUCCCACCAAACAAACCACACCGAAUUUUUUUUCUGGCCACUUGAUGGACCUUUUCUUUCAGGCGAUUUUUUAAUUAAUUUUAUAAUUUAUAUUAAUUUUAUUUACUAAAUCAAUUAUUAAUUUAUAUUAACAAAAUAAUUGUUUCUAAUAUCUUGAUAGAACGGAAAGGGCUACAUAACAAGAAAUCCCAUAUUGCAAACAAGAAAUCCCACUUGCUCCAUGAAUCGGACUCUCUGAACCUAAAUAUUCACCUCUACUUCAUUGGUGGUCCACUCUUUGCUGUCGACUCGCUUCUGGGGUUAUCGUCGUUACUUAGGUUGCUGCCGCCGCGGUUGCCGUGGAUUGCCGUUGACUCGCUUUUGGUGUUAUCUUCUUUCGUUGGUAGAGUUGACAGCUGCUGUGGGUUACUGCUGCUUCUCGUGGUGGUUCGCUGCCCUCUGCUCUUGGUGUUCUUGAGGAAAGGGUGAGGCGUUUGGAUGUAGCAAUGCUUGUGGCUAACAGGGGAGGCUGGUUCUGCGGAAUGGAAGGGAAAUGAUGUGAGAAAGAGCACAGGGGAAUUAGAAAAAGGGAACAGGGAAUAUUAUAAUCUAGCACUUAGUUUUUCUUCAUUUUAGUUUAUGAUUCAUGAAUAUAGUCAUUUCUACUGCUUUUCAUUUAAGUAAAUGAAUCUGACUUCGUAUAUUACAAUUUCGCUCCUAAUUUACUUCCAUCCACUCCUAUCCUUUUCCACAUAGUCACUAGAAUAUUUUAGUCAAAUCCAAACACAAAUUGCUCUGUCAAAUUUAUUAAAAGAUUUUUCAAACGCAUUAUUCACAGUGAGCUACACAUGUGAAAAAUUACUUUAAACAAAAAUAGUUGGUUGGAUUACUAGCUUUUGAGAAUGAAUAAUAUGAAUGCGACUUAGACAAAAUCUUCUUAUUUUCGUCAGUAAAGUUUGUCCAUGUUGCUGGAUUUGGCAAAUCAGUUCAAAUUUCAAAAACAUAUUAUCUUCCGUAUCCUUGUAUUUUCAUAUGUAUUCAAUUUUAUAAAUAUAGAAAAUUGUUCAAAAUUGAGAUAAAUAUAUUUAAGAAAAAUGCAUACGUCUCACUGUUAGCCUUUGCAUGUACCACAUGCAUAUCCUUUUUUAUGCUUACUCCCAAGUGCUCACUGUGCCUUUUUUCUUGAGGUGUUACCCGAAAUGCUUUUGUUCGCGCCUCUAUGAUCCAUUCCACUAUAUAAGUAUUAUAUGUAAUAAUAUUAUUAUUCAUUUAAUUUUAAUGUAGCUUUUUAUUAACAAAAAUCAGUAUUGUUGUAGAUACUAUCUAAUUAAUCUAUUUUGCACCAAAAGCUAAAUCCUUCAUCUCCUUUUCCACCCAUGUUUCAUUAGUCUAUAGCUGCCGUUGUUUACUUUUGUUAGUUUGUAAGGAAAAGUCAAGUGAGUGUGUGUUAGUUGAGUUGUGAAUGGUAUCAAUCAGGUAACCAAAGACUAAAACAACCUUAUUCUUAAAAAAUAUGUAUUAGGUGGAUAAGCCUUAUGCAUAUAACAUGCAACCACUUUGCUUACAUCUUGGUAGGGACAGAGAUAUAGUUAAUAUAUAUUAUACUGUAAUGACCUUAAAUUUUAAAUUGAAAAAAAAUUAAAAUUAGUUUUAAAUUAAAAAUCUUGUAUCCUUUUGUAAUAUUCUUGUGCCUUUUCUUGUGAUUUCACAUGUUCCUUUUUGUAAUUUUUCCCAACCUUCUUUUGAUCGGAAAACCAUUUCUUUCGUGCAAAGAAAACAGAGCAUCUCAUUUCUUUUUUUUUUUUCCACCACCUAUAUACACUCUUCUAGACAUUCAUAGUCGGUCUAUCUCUGUCUCUUAUCUACAUCCGUAGCUCGCUGUCACAAGUGGUUGAUUUCUCGCUGUUGUGCUUCAUCCGCUGUCAUCAUCUUUAUUCACGUUCACCAGCCACAGUGAGUUGGUUGCUGAUUCUCCUUUUUUAUCAUCGUGCUGUUCUGUAUGGCCGAGAGGUUUCCAUCGAGUUGCUGUCUUUGUUGCCUUCUUCUUCUUCCUCUUCGCUAUCUUUGGAGAGGUUGAAUAGUUUUUGUUGCUCUGUUUUGCGCUUAACCGAGAUGCAUAUUCAGGGAUUGAAACCCUUAGCUUUUCUCCUUCGACGCUGUUCAGUGGCUGAUUUAUGUUUGUUGCCACUGAGCUUUGUUAAGCAGUUCCAUUAGCCCUUAGCAUGCCAUGGGAUACGUAGCUUGCGAGGUGCUUAUAGGAGGUGCUAGCCCCAUGUGAAAGCUAACGCAUGUGGAUCGGAGGGAUGGUAUUCAUGAACACUGUACUCAUGCUUGUUUUUGUGGGCUUCAUGCUUGCGCUUGAUUCGUGCACUUGCUGCUUGUUUCGUGGCUUCUAGCUGCGUUUGACUGGUUACUUACCCUUGUGAAUUGUAUGUCCAUGCUUGAUUAGUUAUUUACCCUCGUGGAUUGUGUG